GAUGAACGCUGGCGGCGUGCUUAACACAUGCAAGUCGAACGGUGAAGGCGGAGCUUGCUCUGCUGGAUCAGUGGCGAACGGGUGAGUAACACGUGAGCAAUCUGCCCCUGACUCUGGGAUAAGCGCUGGAAACGGCGUCUAAUACUGGAUACGAGCUGCGAAGGCAUCUUCAGCAGCUGGAAAGAAGUUCGGUCAGGGAUGAGCUCGCGGCCUAUCAGCUUGUUGGUGAGGUAAUGGCUUACCAAGGCGUCGACGGGUAGCCGGCCUGAGAGGGUGACCGGCCACACUGGGACUGAGACACGGCCCAGACUGCUACGGGAGGCAGCAGGGGGGAAUAUUGCACAAUGGGCGAAAGCGUGAUGCAGCAACGCCGCGUGAGGGACGACGGCCUUCGGGUGGUAAACCUCUGUUAGCGGGGAAGAAGCGAAAGUGACGGUACCUGCAGAAAAAGCGCCGGCUAACUACGUG
rnacentral:rRNA from 1 species